rnacentral:rRNA from 1 species
AUUGAACGCUGGCGGCAUGCCUUACACAUGCAAGUCGAACGGCAGCGGACCUUCGGGUGCCGGCGAGUGGCGAACGGGUGAGUAAUAUAUCGGAACGUACCUUUCAGUGGGGAUAACGUAGCGAAGUUACGCUAAUACCGCAUAUUCGUGUGAGGCAGGAAAGCAGGGGAUCGCAAGACCUUGCGCUGAUUGAGCGGCCGAUAUCAGAUUAGCUAGUUGGUGAGGUAAAGGCUCACCAAGGCGACGAUCUGUAGCGGGUCUGAGAGGAUGGAUCCGCCACACUGGAACUGAGACACGGUCCAGACUCCUACGGGAGGCAGCAGUGGGGAAUUUUGGACAAUGGGCGCAAGCCUGAUCCAGCCAUGCCGCGUGAGUGAAGAA